rnacentral:rRNA from 1 species
UUUGUUGUCCGACUCUGUUGCCUCCGGGGCGACCCUGCCUUCGGGCGGGGGCUCCGGGUGGACACUUCAAACUCUUGCGUAACUUUGCAGUCUGAGUAAACUUAAUUAAUAAAUUAAAACUUUUAACAACGGAUCUCUUGGUUCUGGCAUCGAUGAAGAACGCAGCGAAAUGCGAUAAGUAAUGUGAAUUGCAGAAUUCAGUGAAUCAUCGAAUCUUUGAACGCACAUUGCGCCCCCUGGUAUUCCGGGGGGCAUGCCUGUUCGAGCGUCAUUUCACCACUCAAGCCUCGCUUGGUAUUGGGCAACGCGGUCCGCCGCGUGCCUCAAAUCGACCGGCUGGGUCUUCUGUCCCCUAAGCGUUGUGGAAACUAUUCGCUAAAGGGUGCUCGGGAGGCUACGCCGUAAAACAACCCCAUUUCUAAGGUUGACCUCGGAUCAGGUAGGGAUACCCGCUGAACUUAAGCAUAUCAAUA